GCACAAGCGGUGGAGCAUGUGGUUAAUUCGAAGCAACGCGAAGAACCUUACCAGGUCUUGACAUCCCGAUGCUAUUUCUAGAGAUAGAAAGUUACUUCGGUACAUCGGUGACAGGUGGUGCAUGGUUGUCGUCAGCUCGUGUCGUGAGAUGUUGGGUUAAGUCCCGCAACGAGCGCAACCCCUAUUGUUAGUUGCCAUCAUUCAGUUGGGCACUCUAGCGAGACUGCCGGUAAUAAACCGGAGGAAGUGGGGAUGACGUCAAAUCAUCAUGCCCCUUAUGUUCUGGGUUACACACGUGCUACAAUGGCCGGUACAGACGGACGCAAAGCCGCGAGGUGGAGCAAAUCCUAAAAAGCCGGUCUCAGUUCGGAUUGCAGGCUGCAAUUCGCCUGCAUGAAGUCGGAAUCGCUAGUAAUCGUGGAUCAGAAUGUCACGGUGAAUACGUUCCCGGGUCUU
rnacentral:rRNA from 1 species